UACGUAGGGCGCAAGCGUUAUCCGGAAUUAUUGGGCGUAAAGAGCUCGUAGGCGGUUUGUCGCGUCUGCCGUGAAAGUCCGGGGCUCAACUCCGGAUCUGCGGUGGGUACGGGCAGACUAGAGUGAUGUAGGGGGAGACUGGAAAUUCCUGGUGUAGCGGUGAAAAUGCGCAGAUAUCAGGAGGAACACCGAUGGCGAAGGCAGGUCUCUGGGCAUUACCUGACGCUGAGGAGCGAAAGUGUGGGGAGCGAACAGG
rnacentral:rRNA from 1 species